UACGAAGGGGGCUAGCGUUGCUCGGAAUCACUGGGCGUAAAGGGUGCGUAGGCGGGUCUUUAGGUCAGGGGUGAAAUCCUGGAGCUCAACUCCAGAACUGCCUUUGAUACUGAGGAUCUUGAGUACGGGAGAGGUGAGUGGAACUGCGAGUGUAGAGGUGAAAUUCGUAGAUAUUCGCAAGAACACCAGUGGCGAAGGCGGCUCACUGGCCCGUAACUGACGCUGAGGCACGAAAGCGUGGGGAGCAAACAGG
rnacentral:rRNA from 1 species